GAAAUCUGAACUUUGGUAAGAAAGUCAAUAAAGUAUUGAUUUCUAGAAGUCCAGCUGAUUUCUGAGUACAUGUCAAAGCUAGUGGGAGCAUAAGUGUUAUGCUAAUAAUCAUCAUGUUAGUGGGAGCAUGAUAAUUAUGAUAAAUGUUGCAAGUUAGCAAUGUUAAUUAUAGAAAACAAAAGGUUUCAAUUGGGAAAAGUUGUUUUGCUAUAAUUAAGGGAGAGGAAAUUAUACUUCAUCUCAAAUCUAUAAGCUUAGAUCGUGAGGUUUUAAUCAUUUAGUCAAGGAUAUAUAUGAAUUUCAUGUUGGAAUGGCUCAACAUAAGGAAAUUCUGUAUAUGGGUCCAUUAUUUGCGUUCUAAAAUUCGAUUAUGAUUACGACAUCCCUUUUCAUAAUCUGAAUUAUGAGAACUUGGCAAAUAGAAAUGGAAAUGUUAUAGCAAAAGACUGGUUUAGUCUUUAUGUGAGACAUCAUGAAUCGUGUCCCAUAUGCUUCGGAUAUAGGAUUGAUUACAUGUGCUAUAUUCAUCCUUUCUAAAAUUUUCCAAAUGCCUGGGGCAUUAAGAAGGGAAAAGGUCUAGAAUUGGAUAUGACUAAAAGGAUUAAACAAUUGUCAAGGACAAUCUAAGGUUUACCAAAGUUUGGUUGCUCAAGGACAGUUGGAAGUAUAGUGAUAAUUCUGGAAGGACCAUAUUGACAUAAUCUAUAGGGAGGCAACUCUUGUUCAGAAGUGAUAGUCAAAAUGGAAUAUGGAAAUGUUUCAAAGUUAGAAAUUAUUCCAUCUGUGUAAGAUUAGGAAACUUAAUGCAAGAAGGAUGUUCCAAGGAGCUGAUCUCCUUUGGAAUGCUCUAUAAUGGUUGUUGUCAAGUCUUUCUCACUUUAUGCAUAGUUAUUACAAGAGGAUCAAUGCAUAUAAAU
rnacentral:lncRNA from 1 species